UCUUACUUCCAUUACUAUAGCUCACUGCGUUUUGAAGAUGCACCGGACUAUCAGUACCUAAAGAGAUUGUUCAGAGACCUUUUUAUUCGGGAAGGUUUUCAGUUUGAUUAUGUUUUUGACUGGACCAUUCUAAAGUACCAACAGGCACAGAUGACCACUGCUCCACCUCGUGCAAUUGUUUGUACAAGGAUUAAACUUACCCUCCUACCUUAAGUAGUAGUAGAGAUUGUAUUGGGUAUAGAAAUGUACUUCUUUUGUUAUGUUAUAUUUCAUUGCCCCCUCUCUAUUUUGGUUCC